rnacentral:rRNA from 1 species
GUCGAGAAUCUUCCCCAAUGGGCGAAAGCCUGAGGGAGCGACGCCGCGUGAGGGAUGAAGGCCCUUUGGGUUGUAAACCUCUGUUAGGGGGAAAGAAAAGCAGUGGAAGCAAUAUGUCCAUUGCCUGACGUUACCCCCAGAGAAAGCUCCGGCCAACUCCGUGCCAGCAGCCGCGGUAAUACGGGGGGAGCAAGCGUUGUCCGGAAUCAUUGGGCGUAAAGGGCGUGUAGGCGGCUUGGCAAGUCGAAUGUGAAAUCCCACGGCUCAACCGUGGAACUGCGUUCGAAACUGCCUUGCUUGAGUGCGGGAGAGGUGGGCGGAAUUCCUGGUGUAGCGGUGGAAUGCGUAGAUAUCAGGAAGAACACCGGUGGCGAAGGCGGCACACUGGCCCAGCACUGACGCUGAGGCGCGAAAGCGUGGGGAGCGAACGGGAUUAGAAACCCGGGUAGUCC